rnacentral:rRNA from 1 species
CAAAAACAUCGCCUCUUGCAAAACUAAUGAAUAAGAGGUCCCGCCUGCCCUGUGACUAUAUGUUUAACGGCCGCGGUAUUUUGACCGUGCGAAGGUAGCGCAAUCACUUGUCUUUUAAAUGGAGACCUGUAUGAAUGGUAGAACGAGGGCUUAACUGUCUCCUCUUUCAAGUCAAUGAAAUUGAUCUCCCCGUGCAGAAGCGGGGAUAAACUCAUAAGACGAGAAGACCCUAUGGAGCUUUAGACACUAAGGCAGAUCAUGUUAAAGACCCCUAGACAAAGGGCUAAACUGAGUGAGCUCUACCCUAAUGUCUUUGGUUGGGGCGACCACGGGGAAACACAGAACCCCCGCGUGGAAUGAGAGUACUAUCUCUUACAAGCAAGAGCCCCCGCUCUAGCAAACGGAACAUCCGACCAAUAAGAUCCGGCCCUAAAGCCGAUCAACGGACCGAGUUACCCUAGGGAUAACAGCGCAAUCCCCUUUUAGAGCCCAUAUCGACAAGGGGGUUUACGACCUCGAUGUUGGAUCAGGACAUCCUAAUGGUGCAGCCGCUAUUAAGGGUUCGUUUGUUCAACGAUUAAAGUCC